UCUCCGUUGGUGAACCAGCGGAGGGAUCAUUAACGAGUGCAAAAUCAUAACGCUUUGUGAAACUAUAACGGGUGCUUCGGCGGAUCGCUCUCGGGCGAGCCCGCCGGUAAUAUCAGUAUCUCGGUUUGAACCCGACGAUACUUCUGAGUGUUCUUAGCGAACAGUUAAAACUUUUAACAACGGAUCUCUAGGCUCUAGCAUCGAUGAAAAACGAAGCAGAACGGAAGAGCACACGUGUGAUCUCCAGUCACAAUUAGGCAUCACGUCUGACGACCACAU
rnacentral:misc_RNA from 1 species